UAGCCCUUACCCCCCCGACUAAU
rnacentral:miRNA from 1 species